AGUGUUUUUGAAAGAAAAAUUAGAAAUUGAUGGUCAAAACAUAAUUUAAAAAAAAUAUGCCACGUACAAUCGCCCAGUCAGCAGCCUCGGCGAACUGAAGCGCGCCGCGUGGCAAGGCACACUGACGUGGUGCCACGUGGGAAGCCAUGCUGCCAAUCCGCGUGCCCGCAGUCAGACAGUCCGGAUUUGUUCCUGCGUGUGUGGACGGUUCAGAUCCAUUCCCUCAUCAGACACGAUCGAACGAUUGCGAUUAAGCGCGAUGAAGGGUCUAGAUUCGUUUCUUUUUUCAACGCGAUCGUACGGUUCAUAUCAAAUGUGAUGGAUGGUCCAGAUUAAAAGGAGAUGAAUAUAAAUAUCUCACUUCACACCAAACCCUAACCCUAAUCGGCAGGCCCCCCGCAGGAAAAGAAGAAUCAGUCGCCAGGAAGGGAGCCGAUCACCGCCCGCCACU
rnacentral:lncRNA from 1 species